UUGAUGGAGGCAUUAGAAUUGACUCAAAAGAAAAUUAACGGAUUAAAAGAUCGAAAAUCAAAACGGUCCUGGUCAAACUUCUAAGCAAACAGGAAAUUAUCUGCAAAGAAAAGCCUGACCGGUUUAUUUUUAAAUUAAAACAAAAAGCCAAAUUGUAAAGGAGAACAUUUCAUCAAAAGCCCAAAUUUAGCCAAAACAAUUUUUCUGUACAACUCAACUUUUGUCACUAAAGGGGGGCAGAAAAUGUAGUAAAACCACAAGAAAAGAACAAAAGGUGGAAAAAUAGGGGAGAGAAAAAAAUAGUGUUAAACAUCUGUUGUGUGCUGUGUGUGGUCGUCCUCUUAUCUCUCCCUCUGUGGCCCGCUAAACAUGACUAGCUGCCAUCUUGGCUCACAGAGACGAGGUGGAGGGGGUAGCGGCGGCUCCAGGCUCUCUGGCAAACAGGAGCCGGAAAAUAACGUAACCACAAAUAUGAAAGCUUGACGUGACACACCGAAUAAACCCGCAGCACAACAAUGUUUUUUUUUCUAUUUUUCCUGACAUUUCAGCGCCACCACUGUUGCGUGACAGCGGUUAGAGUGACCAUUAUGCAAGUUGGCCUAUUACAUGAAAAAGAUGGAAGAAUAACGCAACAAACACACACAGAGCAGUGAAACUGGGUUAGGGGCUAAAACGCUGUUCAGACCUGAAAAAGAGAGGAAGAGAAGGGGAAACACAGAGUCAGAAUCAAAGAAAAAGGGUCCUUGUAGAGGGGCCUCAGAGCACCAAUUUUUUUCAUGUGCAAACACGGUGGUGGCAGUAAUCUACUAGUAAUGUUUUUCUGGCGAAGGGACUGGAACACUACUUGGACUAGAGCAAGAGAAAAAAGGAAAAAUAUAAAGCCAUAUUGAAAGUCCAAAAAACUUGAAGAACCCACGUUCAGGACUAACCUUAACGGCUGAGUCAGCGAACAGUUAAAAGGGUAAUCCAGGCUUCGGACAGCUGAAGGAGCCAUUUUGAUCUUCACGUGGAAGAAAGCGAGAAUGCCAAGAGAAUGUAGAGCAGGGCGCUUAUCUGUCAGCGACAGAGGUGGUUGUAUUGGAGCUUCCCAUAGUGAGACAACAUGCGAAGUAUUAAAGAGAACUUUGAUCUUCAAGUGAAGAGCAUCCAUCAACCCAUGACAAAAUAUCACAUAACAUAUAUGUGGCAGAGUGAAAACAACACAGAUUGGCUCUUUACACAAGGUCACUCUGCCAAUAUGAUU